AUGGGCUGUGAAAUCUCGACCGAGGGAGACGUCUACAGCUAUGGCAUUGUUCUUUUGGAAAUGCUAACACGGAAACGACCUACCAAUGAAGAGUUCAGUGAUGGCAUGACGCUCCGGAAGUAUGUAGAUGCAUCGCUUUCACGAACCCAAGACAUUCUUCACCCCGGUCUUACUUCACAGACGACAGAGCAGCGUGUCGAUCAUAUCCCAAACUUGCAAGAAUACAACACACUUGCGCUGAAGGAUAUAUGUGCUCUCCGACUCCUUAGACUUGGCUUAUUAUGCUCCGCGGAAUCACCGAAGGAUCGCCCAGCGAUGCAUGAUGUCUACGGUGAAGUAACUGAAGUAAAAGAGGCAUUUUUCUCUAUGGACAACUGA
rnacentral:rRNA from 1 species